GACAGAGGGUGCAAGCGUUAUUCGGAAUCAUUGGGCGUAAAGGGCGCGUAGGCGGUUUCGCAAGUCGGAUGUGAAAGCCCAGGGCUCAACCUUGGAAGGGCAUCCGAAACUACUUAACUUGAAUCCCGGAGAGGGUGGUGGAAUUCCCAGUGUAGAGGUGAAAUUCGUAGAUAUUGGGAGGAACACCGGUGGCGAAGGCGACCACCUGGACGGAGAUUGACGCUGAGGCGCGAGAGCGUGGGGAGCAAACAGG
rnacentral:rRNA from 1 species